UACGUAGGGUGCGAGCGUUGUCCGGAAUUAUUGGGCGUAAAGAGCUCGUAGGCGGCUUGUCGCGUCGUCCGUGAAAACCUGGGGCUCAACCCCAGGCUUGCGGUCGAUACGGGCAGGCUCGAGUUCGGUAGGGGAGACUGGAAUUCCUGGUGUAGCGGUGAAAUGCGCAGAUAUCAGGAGGAACACCGGUGGCGAAGGCGGGUCUCUGGGCCGAUACUGACGCUGAGGAGCGAAAGCGUGGGGAGCGAACAGG
rnacentral:rRNA from 1 species